UCAUUGGUGGUUCAGUGGUAGAAUUCUUCCCUGCUGUAGAGGAGGCCCUGGUUCAAUUCCAGGCCAGUGCA